GCAUCUUAAAAGGCAGCUGGACAGAGAUGACUUGAGUGUUAGAGGACCAUACUUAUCUUGGGAGUGCCACAAAGUAGAACCUCUAAGAAUCUUCAAGGUCCUCUCUGAUAGGCCAAGACCACAGAAUGUCCUUGCUUACAGUGCUGAUGUAAUAAUAAGGCCUAAGCCAGAACUCUAGUCUAGUUCAGGGGCUUAAUGAAAAGGUUGUGUGAGCUACAGGGCUAGGGGAAAUGAAGACCAACACUAUAAUCCACAUGGCAGGCACAAUUCAAUCCAAGUACUGAAUAUUAGGUGAUAAUAUAUAAGGAGGAGGACUCGACUCUCCCCAUAUAUCUGUGGAUCUCAGGGGUUGAACCCAUGUCAUCGGGCUUAGGAGCAAGAGCCUUUACUUAUUUGAGCCAUGUAGCAAGCCGUUAUAUUUUCAGCUUUUCUUUAUUUCAUAUAAAACAAGCCACGUACAUUGAAAUAUUUUACAAUAAACUACAUCUUGCUCAAAA